GACGAACCGUGCGAACGUUGUUCGGAAUCACUGGGCAUAAAGGGCGCGUAGGCGGCUUUUCAAGUCAGGGGUGAAAUCCGGCAGCUCAACUGUCGAAGUGCCCUUGAUACUGACGAGCUCGAGGGAGGUAGGGGUGUGUGGAACUUCCGGUGGAGCGGUGAAAUGCGUUGAUAUCGGAAGGAACGCCGGUGGCGAAAGCGACGCACUGGACCUCUUCUGACGCUGAGGCGCGAAAGCCAGGGGAGCAAACGGG
rnacentral:rRNA from 1 species